CGGGGUGCAGCAGGCGCGAAAACUUUACAAUGCUGGCAACAGCGAUAAGGGGACCUCGAGUGCCAGGUUACAAAUCUGGCUGUCGUGAUGCCUAAAAAGCAUUGCAUAGCAAGGGCCGGGCAAGACCGGUGCCAGCCGCCGCGGUAACACCGGCGGCUCGAGUGGUAACCGUUAUUAUUGGGUCUAAAGGGUCUGUAGCCGGCCGGAUAAGUCUCUUGGGAAAUCCAGCAGCUCAACUGUUGGGCUUUCAGGAGAUACUGUCUGGCUCGAGGCCGGGAGAGGUGAGAGGUACUUCAGGGGUAGGGGUGAAAUCUUGUAAUCCUUGAAGGACCACCAGUGGCGAAGGCGUCUCACCAGAACGGACCUGACGGCAAGGGACGAAAGCUAGGGGCACGAACCGGAUUAGAUACCCGGGUAGUCCUAGCCGUAAACGAUACUCGCUAGGUGUCGGCCACGGUGCGACCGUUGUCGGUGCCGUAGGGAAGCCGUGAAGCGAGCCACCUGGGAAGUACGGCCGCAAGGCUGAAACUUAAAGGAAUUGGCGGGGGAGCAC
rnacentral:rRNA from 1 species